ACGACCUUACUUGAGCAGGAUCUAUUCUAUAGGCUCAUACCUCUACAUCCUUUAGCACAAAGUGUAUUACUUUUUUCCUACUCCUAACUUAAGAU
rnacentral:snoRNA from 1 species